rnacentral:ncRNA from 1 species
GCUGUCGCGGGAGGCUGUGACGCGCGAUCCUUCGCCGCGGCCGCCCGGACCGCGCCGAGCCACUGGCGAGCCCGACCCGCCGUGGG